GUUGCAGGAGGGGUAACAUAAUCACCCUAUUUGUUUUAGAAGUAUUUAAAAUCAUUUAUGCUUCCGGAAAAAGAUCACACUAAGGCUGUGGAUAUCUGCGUACACAGUCACUGAGUGCAGUUAUUUAUGUUCAGUACAUGGUGAAUGCGUCAUUAUAAUUAGUCGAAAUCGCAUUAAAGGGGGCUUUUUAAAGGGGCACUGGACGCUGUCUUCACAUUCCCUUUAAGAAGUUGAAGAACAGUGCAAGCGAGCGAAACCUUGUGCCUUCUGACUUUUUGUUGUUGUUUUUAUUGUUUUUAUUUAUUUUUCUUGUUUGUUCCGUUUAUUUGCGCUAUUCUCUGACCGUAUCUUACCCGAAACUCGCGCAAUGGCUGAGACAUCGAAAGGGGUCAACGCCGGGAAAUUGGCUAGUAAUGUACAGAAAAGGAUUAUCCGAGCACAGGAGAAGAUGAUGCAGAAGCUUGGGAAGGCUGAUGAAACCAAAGAUACAGCAUUUGCGGAGGUUGUAGCUAACUUUAACAAGCAGAUGGCAGAAGGCACUAAACUGCAGAGGGAUCUCAGAGCAUACCUGGAAGCAGUUAAAACUAUGCAUGAAUGCUCGAAGCGCCUACAAUGCUGCCUAGUAGACAUGUAUGAGCCAGACUGGUUUGGGAAGGAUGAAAUUGACAUCAUCUCUGAGGACACAGAUGUUCUGUGGGGAGAUUUCCAUCAGAAGCUUAUGGACGGUGCACUCAUCUCAAUGGAUGCCUACAUGGCUCAGUUUCCUGAAAUUAAGGCACGGAUUGCUAAACGUGACAGGAAGCUGGUGGAUUUUGAUAGCGCCAGACAUCACUUUGCCACUAUACAGAAAAGUAAAAAGAAGGAUGAGGCCAAAAUUGCCAAGGCAGAGGAAGAGUUGGGAAAAGCCCAAAAGGUGUUUGAAGAGAUCAAUUAUAACCUUCAAGAGGAGCUCCCAUCUUUGUGGAACAGACGUGUUGAUUUCUAUGUGACCACCUUUGAGAGUUUAGCCAGGCUGGAGGAGAAGUUCCAUGGAGAUAUGGGCAAACUAAAUCACAAUGUGGGUGAUAUUAUGACCAGACUUGCAGAAGAGCAACAGUCUAAAAGUGCUACUAUGACAGCUACAGGGAAGAGUGAACUAGCAGCCAACCAUAAUGUCAUAGCAGAGUCUGGGUCUGACAUAACUAAACCAGCAUCUAAGUACCUGCAUGUGUAUAUUUUGGGUGGCAUGCUUGUGUGUGUGGAAGCUGAGCCUAGACCAGGGUGACUGGUCCCCCCAACCCACCAUAUCUUCAGAUGAAGCGGUCCAACAGGACAACCUAACAUGAAGAUACAAUGAUGUCUGAUUUAAAAGUUACUGACCUUUCACAGACUUUGAUAUUCUGGGAACUACCAGAAGUCCGGAGUUUUGUGAUCUUGAGGAAUGUGAUGGAAUGUAACGUGUUAGAAGGCUGGCUAGAUACGUGGGAGCUAAACCAUUUAGAGCCUUGUACGUAAGUACUGAAAGUUUGUAAUCAAUUCUAAACAUAACAGGUAGCCAGUGUAGGGAUGAUAAUAUUGGGGUUAUGUUUAUACUUUCUUGACCUGGUAAGAACUCUGGUGGCUACAUUCUGGACUAACUGUAGCUUGUUUAUUGAAGAUGCAGGACAGGGGCGCUAGAGAGUAGCUAAUGGAGUAAGACGCGUUUUCUCCCAGCUCCGUCACACUUUGUAAAAUAAAUCAUAUAAAGCUUCAUAACUCCUACUCAAUUUGUUCAGUUUGCAAAGUCAAUAUAUUAACGAUGAAUAAAUCUAAAAAGACUGUCAAAAAGACCCUGUCCCUGGCUGCCGACACGGUGAAAGACACUUCAGCUAGCCCAAUGCUAACCGAUGCUAAAGAUGACGGUCAAACUGACUUGGAUAAUGACACCACCGAGACAGAUGCUUCCUAUCCCUCGGAGGAUGAAGAUGAGGCCUCAACUAGGGCUAUUCUUAUGGCUAUUAGAAGGAUGGACUCCUUAUGAAUGCCCGAUUUAAUAAGUUGGAAGCUUCUCUGUCUGUAGUGCAGUCCACGCUAACCGCAAACACAGUCCGUAGAGUAUCGCUGACCUGGAAGAGGCUAGCACUGAUUAUGAGCGCCGCAUAUCCCGCCUAAAGCAGCUUUGCUCCGGUCUAUCACAGGAGAACAUGUCUCUGAAAGUAAAGGUAACGGAUUUAGAGGCCAGAUCUCACAGGCAGAAUAUCAAAAUAAUGGGUCUUCCUGAGAACAUUGAGAAGGGCAGCCCUACUGUAUUUGUUUCCGAGCUUCUUCCUUCGCUACUAGGAGAAUGUAAUUUCCCGCGUGGCGUAAUGGUUGACCGGGCUCACCUCACUGGCGUCAUCGGAAACAACAGGAGUUAUGAUCGCCAGGAUACAUCACGACUCUGUUAAGACUGAAAUACUGCACCUCUCCCGUAACCGGAGCCCGCUGUCGUUUGACGGUAGCUGUAUCAGCAUCUUCCCGGACUUUCCUGCGGAGGUGUUCAUCCAACACAAGCAGUUUGACAGCGUGCGGGAGAAUCUAAGAGCCAAUGGAAUAAAAUAUGGACUCCUGUACCCUGCUCGUCUCAUCCUCACGCAUGAGAAGAUGAAGAAAAUAUUCUCGUCCCCUCAGGAGGCUGAAUCCUACAUUGACAGUCUCUCCUCCUGAUGGAAGGUGAACCCACUGUGCUAAAUAAGACAUAUACUCAUGUAGGUAUGCAUGUGGGUCUGUAUAAUGUAUAAUGUGUGUGGGGAUGUUAGUGCUUUCAUUCAUAUACAAAGUAUUCCUGAUCAUAAUGUGUGGAGACGGAGCGGUGUGGUGUUCCGAAGAACCGUUAAUCCGUCACCGGUUGAUUUUUGGCUUCUUCCAAGUUAAUUUAUUUAUUUAAUUUUUCUUUUUUUCUUCUCUUUCCUUGUGUUCUGUUUGGCAUUCCACGUUUAAAUGGGGUGCUCUGAUUUUCGUUCGAGGGGGGAGGUUAUUGGGGUAGUAUCGUGCCAGCUUAUUUCUGUAUUAGAUAUGUUUGUGUUUUUCUCUGUUUUGUUUUCUCAGCAAUACUUAUACUCAAAUAGUCGCCCAGUGUACCCUAUGAUUUAUCUCUCACUGCACUUUAAUGAGCCCCCCUAAGAAACAUUUGAAUAUCUUGAGCUGGAAUGUGCGUGGUUUAAACAAUAUUGUUAAAAGUCUUUGCACAUCUAAAUUCUUUACAUGCAGAUAUAUUAUUUCUGCAGGAGACUCACAUUAAGCAUUCCAGUGCUCAUAGACUUAAAUGCAGAUGGAUGGGUCAAAUGUACCACUCUGCUUUCUCUUCAAAGGCCCGUGGGGUGUCUAUACUAAUACAUAAGAAUACUCCCUUUCAGCAUUUGAACACUAAACAACAUAUUAAUGGCCGCUAUCUUAUUGUGACUGGUACUAUCUUAGAGAAACAUGUCACUUUUGUGAAUCUAUAUGCGCCAAAUUUUGACAACCCAAAUUUUUUUCGAUCAGACUUUAAUCUCAUACCCGAUAUAGACUCUACACAUCUUAUCUUUAAUUGUAUUUUGGACCCUUUUAUAUACAGGCUCUCACCCAGCCUUCCUAAACUCUCUAACUCAACUGUUGUUCUUAAUAAUCUCAUUCACUCACUGAACGUACUUGAUAUUUGGAGACUCCAGCACCCUACUGACAAAGACUACUCUUUUUUCUCUAACAUUCAUAACUCAUAUACAAGGAUUGACUUUUUUCUAACUGCUUCCAAAUUAACCCCUAAGAUUUUAUCCUUCAAAUAUCAUAAUAUUUUAAUAUCUGAUCACUCCCCAGUUUCUAUAUCAAUAGAUUUUGGACUGGAAAGACCUCUUUCAGUUGGCGUUUUAACCCCACGCUAUUAAAUGAGGGCACUUAAAAAAAAAAAAAAAAAAAAACUGUGCCGCUCAUAUAGCUGAAUUCCUUUCUUUAAAUGAAAAGGGGGAUGUGUCUGACUCAACCCUGUGGGAAGCUCUCAAGGCUGUCAUUAGAGGUCAGGUGAUAGCCUACCAAGCAGAGCAGAAAAAGCAGAGGGGCAAAAGGCUUUCUCAGAUAGAGGUGGAGCUGUCAGCCCUAGAGCAGCAGUUUAAACUCUCAUCAUCCAACUCAACUCUGACUAGUAUUAUGAAAUUGAAAUAUGAAUAUAAUACCAUUUUAUCUACUCAAAUUAGCUCCCUUUUACUAAAGAUUAAGUAAAAACAAUUUGAAUUGGGAGACAAACCUCAUCACCUGCUGGCUCAUCAGCUCAGGGGCGCACAAGCGAGUAGGGCUAUAUGUGCCAUCAAGUCAAAAUCCGGUGUCUUGACCACUAAACCAGCAGAAAUAAAUAACAUAUUUCGGGAAUUCUAUCAGGAACUGUACUCCUCUCAAAGUGUUGGAGACUUGCUGAAUAUCACUAAAUUCCUUCACUCUCUUCAGCUUCCCAGAAUUAGUGAGGAUAAGAGAGAAAGUUUAAACUCAAACAUUACACUGGAAGAAAUUCUGAAGGCUAUUAAGAACUUUCCCAAUGGUAAAGCGGCGGGCCCGGAUGGCUUUUGCAUUGAAUUUUAUAAGGCUUUCUCCGAUCAAAUUGCCCCCUUGAUGCUAAGGAUGUUCAAAGACUCUGUUGAAAAUAAAAAAUUACCAAAGACACUUUACUCGGCGAAUAUCACAUUGAUCCUAAAGAAAGAUAAAGAUAAUACAGAUCCUUCCUCUUACAGACCCAUUUCCCUUCUUGGUAGUGAUAUUAAGAUAUUUACUAAGAUCCUUGCAAAUUGGCUAAGUAAAUGUAUUGGUUCAAUAAUACACGAAGACCAAACUGGUUUUAUUCCCGGGGGAUUUUCUUUUCACAACGUACGCAGACUUAUGAAUGUUGGGUAUAGAAGCAAAGGCAAAUAUGAUAAAAUAGCCAUUCUAGCCCUGGAUGCCCAUAAAGCAUAUUGACAGGGUGGAAUGGACUUAUAUCUUAAGCACUAUACAGGAAUUCGGUUUGGGACAAAAUUUUUCUUCGUGGAUUAAGAUGCUGUACCUCUGCCACUCUGCCUCAGUUCUCACAAACAAUAAUAGGUCCCCUCCCUUUCUUCUUCAUCGUGGUACCUGCCAGGGCUGUCCACUAAGUCGUUUACUUUUUGCCAUUGCUAUGGAACCUCUAGCAAUAAAUAUAAAAAACCACUUGCAUAUACCCCCUAUUAUAAUGGGAGGUGUAGAACAUCAGAUUUCUUUAUAUGCGGAUGAUGUCCUCCUUUUUCUCUCUGAGCCAGAAAGAUCCUUGCCUUUUUUGUUUGAUCUUAUUAAAGAGUUUGGUGCCCUCUCUGGUUAUACAGUUAACUGGCAGAAAAGUGAAUUUAUGCCAUUAUUUGGUAAUAUAGAUUUAGGUUUUAUUAAUAGUCUCCCUUUCAAAACUGUAAGUGAAUUAAAAUAUCUUGGUAUCACUGUUCCUAGACACUAUGGAAGCUUAUAUGAAACAAACUACAAAGUCAUGAUAGAUAAACUGAAGAAUAAUAUUGAGACUUGGCGUGUACUCCCUUUAACAAUGAUUGGCCAUGUCAACACAAUCAAAAUGGUUACUUUACCUAGAUUUCUUUACUUGUUCCAAAAUGUUCCUAUCUUCUUAACCCAGUCAUUCUUUAAAACACUUGAUUCCUUAUUCACGCCAUUUAUCUGGGGAUAUAGAGCUCAUCGUACUGUAUAACUAAAGCACACAUAUGUAAAGCAAAAGAGGUAGGAGGGUAAAUCAACGCCACCUUACCAGCUUGGUUGGCUAUUGAGUGGAAAAUGCAGGAAUCCUCCCUCCCUGCCUUACUUUUCGCAGAAAAUAAACCUAUCAGAACAUUUAAGAAUUGUAAUCCUAUUGUUGUAAAUUCUCUUAAGAUUUGGUACCAGCUCAGGAAAUUUUUUAAACUCCCUCAAACUUGCUCACUUACCCCUAUAGCCUACAACCAUGCAUUCCCUCACAAUUGGAUAGGACUUUUUUGUCAUGGAGAGAAAAAGGAAUUCUGUCUAUAGGAGAUUUAUAUAUAGACAAUGUAUUUGCUUCUUUUGCGCAGCUAAGACAAAAAUUUGGGCUACCCCCCUUUCUUUUUUUUCAGAUACGUACAAGUAUGGAAUUAUGUUAAAAGCAAUAUCUCUAACUUUGAAACCUACAAGUCCCCUGAACAUCUUUAUCUUCUUAUAACCUCUGAACUCGACUCAAAGGGUCUUGUUUCCAAGUGUCAAAUAUCUUAAUGAAUCUAGAACUCCUUCUACACAACACUUAAAGAUGUCCUGGGAAAAGGACUUGGGGAUAGAUAUUCCAGAAGACAACUGGAUUAAGGCUCUCCAGGGUAUCAAGUCGUGUUCCAUCAACUCUAACUUGCAGCUGAUUCAGUAUAAAGUCAUCCAUAGAUUACACUAUUCUCGUGCCAAAUUACAUACCAUAUAUCCCUCUGUGCCUUCCAUGUGUCUCAAAUGCAAAUCCAAUGAGGGUACAUUGGCCCAUUCAUUUUGGCUCUACCCAAAAAUGUGUCAAUUUUGGACUGAGGUUUUCUCUUUCUACUCAAAGGUACUUAAGAUUGAUUUUCAUCAUUCCUUCAUGAUGCAAAAACUCAUUUUUUGUGCGUGUGUGUUUUUUUUUUGUUUGUUUGUUUGUUUUCUGCUUCUGUUUUUCAUUUUCCUUUUUUUUCCUUUUUUUUAUUUGCUGGCAUGGAGAACGGGGAUUGUUCUUUAAAAUGUGAAAAUUCAAAAUAAAAUAUUCAAAAAAACAAAAAAGAAGAUGCAGGACAACCACCUAGUAAUGCAUUACAAAAGACCAGUCUGGAGGUCAUGAAUGCAUGAACUAGCUUUUCUGCAUCAGAUACAGAUAAAAUUUGCUAAGCUUGGCAAUAUUUCUAAGGUGGAAGAAGGCUGACAAGUUGCUGUCUAAUAUUACACCUAAACACACACUAAAAUUACGGUCUUUCACUGACAAGCUAGUAGUAAUAGUACAUACUUCUAAAUGCAAGUUGAAUUGUGAGAGCUUUUGUGUAUUGGUUUUUGGGCCAAUAAGUAAUAUCUCUGUCUUAUCAGGAUUUAGUAAUAGAAAAUUAUGGGUCAUCCAAUCUUUUAUAUCUUUAACUCACAGUUAAUCUGGACAAUUUAGAUAUUUCAUCUGGUUUUGAUUUAUAUGAUUUUGAUAUAAUUUUUCAUUUGGUUUUGAGAUAUAUAACUGGGUAUCGCCAACAUAACAAUGGAAACUAAUUCCAUCAUUAGUCUUCUAAUGAUGUUACCCAAGGGAAGCAUGUAUAUUGAGAACAGCAGAGGUUCUAAAAAUGAUCCUUGUGGAAUUUCACUGGCAUUACACUAGACAGUACUCUAUUUAAAUCUACAAAAUGGUAUCAAUCAGACAGGUAGGAUCUAAACCAUUUUAAUGCCUGUCCCUGAAUACCUAUGUGAUUUUGUAAGCGAUCUACGAGAAUGUUAUGAUCUAUAGUGUUGAAUGCAGCACUAAGAUCAAGUAAGACUAAUAUUGAGAUGCUGCCUUGGUCCGAAGCUAAAAACAAAUCAUUUGUAAUUUUAACUAGUGCAGUUUCUGUUCUAUGAUGGGGCCUGAAACCUGACUGAAAUUCUUCAAGGAUAUUGUUUUCCUGUAAGAAGGAGUAUAAUUGAGCAGACACCACCUUUUCUAAUAUUUUAGAUAUAAACAGAAGGUUUGAAAUCGGUCUGUAAUUUGAUAAUUCAUUAGGGUCUAGUUUAGGUUUCUUAAGAAAAGGCUUAAUAACUGCCAACUUGAGAGGUUUAGGGACAUGACCUAAAUAUAGCGAGGAAUUAAUAAUGUUGAGAAGAGGCUCUCCAGCUGUAUGUAUCACUUCUUUCAGCAAUCUAGUUGGAAUUGGAUCUAACACACACGUUGUUGAUUUAGCUGUGGUGAUAAAUUAAUACAGCUCUUCCUGUCCUAUACCUGUAAAGCACUGUAGCUCUAAAUGUGGAGCUUUAGGCUGGACUGGAUCAUAGGAUGCAGUCAAAUGUUGAACAUCCAUUAUUUUGUUCCUGAUACUAUCAAUUUUGUCAGUGAAGAAAUUCAUAAUGUCCUCACUACUAAACUGUGAUGGAGUACUUUCUCCAGAUAUCUGAUGUUUUGUUAGUCUGGCCACUGUACUAAAGAAUCUGUUUUGUUUUGGUUUAUUGCUAUCAGUUUGCUCAGAGGCUCGGCCCUAGCAGCUAUUAGAGCCUGUCUAUAGCUGGACAUACUUUAUACUUUAUACACUCGAGGAUACGGGUUGCUUUCUUGAGGGCGUGAGUAUGACUAUUAUACCAUGGUGCAGGUGUUUUAUCUCUUACCUCUUUUAAUCGGAUGGGGGCAACAGUGUCUAGUGUGCUGGUGAAAAUAGUGCCUAUGCUGUUAGUCAUUUCAUGUAGAUCAUCUGCAUUUAGGGGUUUAUUAAGAAGUUGAGAGAUCCGGCAGAUUACUGUUCACCUACUCUGAAGGCAGAGAUUCUGGUCUUUAGCAGCACACACCUUUGCAGUCAUCCACGGUUUCUGAUUGGAGCGUUUGGUGAAGGACUUUGAGACAGUAACAUCAUCACUGCACUUGCCAAUGUGGCUGGUCACUGAUUCCUCCAAGUUGGUUGAGUCACCAUCAGUUUCAGUUUUUGAGUCACCAUCAGUUUGAGUCACCAUCAGUUUUAAAAUGUGCCAGUCAUCGUGGUCAAAACAGUCCUGGUGAGGAGAGAUGGCUCCUGCUGGCCAGGAUUUCACCUGAUUCAGAACCUUUCUGAUGAGUUUCUGAUGACUGGUCUGUGUGUUGGAAUUACAUUGACAUUGAUGUGGUCUGUCUAGGUGAAUGGUGGCAUCCAGUGUUUGUUGCUGAGCCACGUCUUUGCUUGCUGCGCUUCCACUUUCUUGUGCUUCUUUUUUGAUGCCCCCUCUCCCAGACACCACCAUCAAGGCAAUGCAUAGGACUGGAGGCCUAGUCCUCGAAGCAAGCAGAGAUCACAUAGCUUCUCCAGCAGAACAUCAUGCAGGUUUACUGUUGCAUAAUUUCUGUGCUGUAUUAGAGUCUGGUGAACAUAGACACAGGUCUACGACUCCAAUGUCCAUGUGCUGUAAGAAAUUAGGCUAAAGGCAAGAAGCAACAUUUUGGAUCCAUCUCUACUGUUCUCCAGUGGCUUUGUUGGUCCAGUGGUUGUGUGCGUUACACCACUGCAUCUGAUGCUUUGCACUGCACUUGGUGAAGUAAGGUUUUGAUGCAGCUGCUCGGCCAUGAAAACCCAUUCCAUGAAGUUCUUCCACUGUUCCUAAGCUAAUCUGAAGGCCACACAAAGUUUGGAGGUCUGCAGCUAUUGACUCUGCAGAAAGUUGUUGACUUCUGCGCACUUUGCACCUCAGCAUGCGCUGACCCUGAUCUGUGAUUUUUCGUGGCCUACCACUUUGUGACUGAGUUUCUGUUGCUCUCAAUUGCUUCCACUAACAGUUUACCAUGGAAUAUUUAGUAGUGAGGAAAUUUCACGAAUGGACUUACAGGUGGCAACCUAUCAUGGUACCAUGCUUGAAUUCACUGAGAGUGACCCAUUCUUUCACAAAUGUUUGUAGAAGCAGUCUACAUGUCUACGUGCUAGAUUUUAUACACCUGUGGCCAUGGAAGUGAUUGGAACACCUGAAUUCAAUGAUUUUGAGGGGUGUCCCAAAACUUUUGCCAAUAUAGUGAAUGUUCCCCACAUGCUUUUGUUUAAUUGCCUCUGGUUGUUAGGAGGGGUGAAACAGAACAAUACCUAAGCUCUUUUUCCCUGAUGUUUGAAAUGACUGAAGAUAGAAGGCUAAAUAUGAUAAUGUGAAACCUUGUCAUGUGCCUUUCUAGUCUUGUGACUAAUCUCUGGCUUGUUUGUUACAAGUAAAAUUUAAUUUAGUUGAAAAAUACACAAAUGUAUUUGUGCUGGCUAAUGGCCAUAGACAGAGCCACAGACAGAGCCACCUCACUGAAUAAAGUAAGAGUAUUGAGCUGCUGUUUAAAAUUCAUUAGACAGAUGGGCCACUGACUAUAUAGUGAAUUGUAUAUCUACAAAUAGUUAAUGCAUGAAAACAAACUCAAUUCUAAAUACACACUGCAUUGGCAUUCUUACAGUGCAGCUAGAUGAAACUGAGCUGCAUGCAUGCAGUAGGACAAAGCAAUGAAGGACAGACUUUGACAGCAUAUAUAAGCUAUAUUCAGUUCUCUCAACUAUAACCUGAAAGCAAUCUAAUGUAAGACUAUACAUCUGGGCAGGAAAAUAUAUUGCUUACUGUUGCUAUGCAUAGUUUUAACUCUUUAAGGUUGAAUCUGUAAACUGCCUUUGUUAUAAACAUUCUGUUAAACAAAGCAAUUCUCACAUAGCAUAAUGUGAAUCCCCCCCUUUUCACUGACCUCUCUUUUCUUUGCAUGCAAUCCCUUAUUAUCUAUUCAGAAACACUCAGUGAUCUCCAUUUUGCUGAAGAAAAAUAAGUCAGGAGUCUCUUUUUCCUGUUAGCAUUAGUGAGCUUUCCCUAAGUUGCAGUUCUUAGUUUCUUAGAUAUAUGGGAGUGGGGAUUUUUCCCUAAUUUAGUCUUGGACAAUUUACACCCAUCAGCCAGCUUUCCCCUGUCAGAUGAUAACUGCCUACCAGGGAAGGCAAAGGCUAUCACAUUCUUCCUCCAAGUCAUGUAAAGCCAGCUCACUACAUCAUUUUAUACUGCUGCUCAUGCUCUCAACCUCCCUUGAAUGGCUACUUUCACUGUCAUUGAUAUGGCAGAAAUAUUCAUCUGAAAUAUCCAGAAAAUAAGCUAAUUUUUCAUUCACAGACACAUGCAGACACAUUGGUAACCAACGGCAGGUCUAAUAUUGAUCUUCCACCAGGAAUUCUGUAUAAGGUGAAAGUGAUACAUGACUAUGCAGCCACAGACAAUGAUGAGCUGGACCUCAAAUCUGGGGACAUUGUGCUUGUAAUGCC